rnacentral:rRNA from 1 species
AACGAACGCUGGCGGCAUGCCUAACACAUGCAAGUCGAACGAACCCUUCGGGGUUAGUGGCGCACGGGUGCGUAACGCGUGGGAAUCUGCCCUUUGCUUCGGAAUAACUCAGGGAAACUUGUGCUAAUACCGGAUGAUGUCUUCGGACCAAAGAUUUAUCGGCAAGGGAUGAGCCCGCGUAGGAUUAGGUAGUUGGUGGGGUAAAGGCCUACCAAGCCGACGAUCCUUAGCUGGUCUGAGAGGAUGAUCAGCCACACUGGGACUGAGACACGGCCCAGACUCCUACGGGAGGCAGCAGUGGGGAAUAGUGGACAAUGGGCGCAAGCCUGAUCCAGCAAUGCCGCGUGAGUGAGGAAGGCCCUCGGGUCGUAAAGCUCUUUUACCAGGGAUGAUAAUGACAGUACCUGGAGAAUAAGCUCCGGCUAACUCCGUG